UAUUACGUAAUUUUUUCUACAACCCUUAGGAAUAGAUCUAUAGUUUCCAUUAGCCAGAAAGUGUCUCGGCUAUGAGCAUAUUUGGAAUUGCAUGUUUAAUCAUAUUUUCAACAAAAUAAUAUUCGGAGUUUGGCAAAACCACUACAAAUACAUUUUCAUUCAAUUAUCGAAUGUUAUUCGGUGGUUCGGUGAACAUUGAACGGCGGGUGUUUAACAUUAUUUACAAAAUACAUCGCUUAACUUGCUCAACUGCCAGAUGGGGGAAAUGACUGCAUCCGGUAAGCCUACCCUAAUGCUUGCCAUUUGACAUACAAUUUCCGGACUCCAAAGGGAAGGUCCAUGAUGAAUUCGAGUUUCCUAAUCACUUCGUUUGUGGAAAGGUCGGAGAGCAGACCGCGUCGAGUAGUGCUUACUAUAUUCAUUGAUUUGCUCGAUGUUAAAUUAAAUAUUAGUUAUUUAAUUGCAAAAAGUGUUCUGCUUGUGCUCGAUAAAACAAAUUCAGGAAGAAACCUGUUCGACAGGUGGUAUAUUUCGGACGCAACGUUCCGACUGAGCCGUGGUGAUUCAGUCCACAAACGAACCGGCGGGAGUUAACCCGAACGCCGGACCGGCACUCGGCGAGUCCGCAGUGUCCCGUAGAGGCACGCCAUCACACUCUACGUCCAUCAAAUUUCACCGACCACUCGAGUCACCCCUGGCGCAUGCGGCAAACAUGGAGGGCGCCCUACUUGCUGGACACUAAACUCAGCCACAUCAAUUCCAGCCCUGCCGAACGCCGCUACUGCCGGAGUCGUGAGUACCCCGCUGAAGCAAACCCUGCGCGCAGGUAUGUUAAUGUUAGUGUUAUGGCCAUACACGUGUUUAGUUGAGAACCAUACUGUCCAAUAAGAAUUACCACCCACGGGGUGAUUUGUAAUCCAGUAGGAAAUUCAGAAUGGGGAAUAGGGAGUUAGGCGAACACUAGAAUAAACAAAUAAAAUAGAGCUGCAAUGUUUUCCUUGAAAAGUGCGUUUUACGUUAACUAACCUCGUUACCUUGAUUCGGGAUCCGCGGAAAAUGUCGGAGAUUGUUCGUUCAUUUGUUUUUUUCUUUCCCUACGGUGUCUGGAAACUCGAAUCCUUCGUUUCGGAACGGGCGAUAAAGAUCUGAAUGGGGCAUUCGUUUCUCUCUAGUGACGUUGGGGAAGUCGGGAGAUUUUUGAAUAUAGAUCAGGAUUUUUGAACCCUAGCCUUCAAGGUUGCCUGACCAUCGAGUUGAAUUCUGUGAAGCCGGGCAAGUCAACACGACAAGCGAUCUCUCUCCGGAGAGUGGCGCGUAAAUCGCCAUGUUAA